ACAACAACAACAACAACAACAAAGAAUCAAAUCCAUAAACAAAAAAAAUAAAGAAUGAUGAAUAAAGUGACAAAUUUUCUUCGCAAUAUGUUCCGAAGAGGCGACGUGAGAUUGGCUGCGGAGGAAUUAUACACAAGGGGGUUCAAAAAGGGAGCUGAAGAACUAGGUAACAAAAAUUAUAAUAGAAUUUUCAAUAACUAAACAUUUUCUUCAAAUUCAAGAGAUUAUAAUUAAGAUAAUUAUUUGGUUAAAAACUAAUAAUUUUCUUAAAAUAUAUAUUUUGAAGCAAAACCAAAGAAGGAAUACUCAGAAGAAAAAGGUGAAAAUAAGAAUGAAGCGAAGGAUUCGUCUUCUACAACUAAAUGAAAAUGCUGAUGAUCAUUUAGUUUAUAGUUGAUAAAUAAAAAUAAAAUUGUAAGAAAUAAAAAGUUUGUUUUAAUUAUUUACGGGAAACUUUGGGGCAUGUCCUAGUUUCCUAUUUAUUUAUGUAAAUAAAAGAGAUUAGAGAAUUUCAACUUCAG
rnacentral:lncRNA from 1 species